rnacentral:lncRNA from 1 species
UCUGUCUCUUAUCUGUCUGGAUAAGAGCUCAUCAAGUCCCUUACUCAAACAUCAGUAAAGGUGACUUCGUUGGAUGGACAUCGAUGGUGGAGAAGGAAAGAUGAACAAGAUAGCCACUAUUGCUUCACUCUCUGUAGUCUCUUCAUGUGAGCCUCCAGGAAGAACACAGAAUACCUCAGUGUCUUAUCUGCCGGGAGUCAUCUCUCUCACCCCCAGAGGGUCUUCACCAGACAAUAAAAAAGGAAACGCGUCAGCUGGGUGGCCAUGGUUGGGAAGAAGAGGUGAACAAGCUCGGCACGGUCUGUGGAGGUGUCGGCCUUGCUCCCCACGGCCUUCUCUGUUUCAGGUAGGUCCCGAGGGGACCCUAUGGAGGGAGCCCUGGUGAAGAGCAUUGCUGUGAGGACAGCUGCAACUGAGUCCUUCCUGAAAGAAGUGUUUGUAUUUUCAGAGGAAAAACUGAGAUUCCUAAGUGCAUGUUUCCUUAAAUGCAGCCAGGCUCCCUGUGGGCUGAGCCAAAGGCUGAGAGAGCAAACAGCUCCUUCUCCGAUGUGCACGGAGGACUUGUCCUAGUGUUUCUCUCGAGUUUCUAUGAGGCCUUCUGUUCACACGCAUGUCUUGUUGAUUGUGAGUUGGAGGAAGAAAAAAGGGGAUAGUCCCCUAUAAUUAGGACUCUAAGAGAGUAGAGCGGUUCCCUCACCCAUAAGAGACCUUCAUCGGGAAACGGGCAAUUUGUCCCUGUGCCAUGUGUUAUGAACAGUCCUAUGGGUUUCCUCUACAGACUUGACAAAAUGUCUUUCUUCUCAUCAUGGAUGAAAGCUAUUUUCGUGCUAGCCUUGCUAUUUCCUCUUCAUUCUGGUGAGUAAAUUUUUCAGUCCUGGAUGAAGCAUUUCACAUAUCUUAGAAAAUUUAGGAAACAACUGCUAUGGUCUAGGAAUGGAGGAGCUUGUUUUAUAGGCUUUUUAAUACUUAAACUGGCAAAAUGAAACGGGUCAUGUAUACAAAUAACCUUUUAAAAAUUGCAUCAGUGGUUUGCUUUUUCUCCUUUCCCACUUUAGAGGCGUGGAGAUAGAGAGGCGUGUUAGAAUGAGAGUGGAACUUCGCUUUUUCUCUACCUACAAUGAAAGUUAUCUGCCUAUCUUUAGAGGUGAAGAGGUUUUGAGGGUCAAAGUCCAUGACUGCUGAGAACAAAGUGUGGGGAGUAAUGGUGUCUUCCAGAUCUGGGGUUCUUUGACA